rnacentral:rRNA from 1 species
UGGGGAAUAUUGCACAAUGGGCGCAAGCCUGAUGCAGCCAUGCCGCGUGUGUGAAGAAGGCCUUCGGGUUGUAAAGCACUUUUGUCCGGAAAGAAAUCCUUGGCUCUAAUACAGUCGGGGGAUGACGGUACCGGAAGAAUAAGCACCGGCUAACUACGUGCCAGCAGCCGCGGUAAUACGUAGGGUGCAAGCGUUAAUCGGAAUUACUGGGCGUAAAGCGUGCGCAGGCGGUUUGCUAAGACCGAUGUGAAAUCCCCGGGCUCAACCUGGGAACUGCAUUGGUGACUGGCAGGCUAGAGUAUGGCAGAGGGGGGUAGAAUUCCACGUGUAGCAGUGAAAUGCGUAGAGAUGUGGAGGAAUACCGAUGGCGAAGGCAGCCCCCUGGGCCAAUACUGACGCUCAUGCACGAAAGCGUGGGGAGCAAACAGGAUUAGAUACCCUGGUAGUCCNCGCCCUAAACGAUGUCAACUAGUUGUUGGGGAUUCAUUUCCUUAGUAACGUAGCUAACGCGUGAAGUUGACCGCCUGGGGAGUACGGUCGCAAGAUU